rnacentral:rRNA from 1 species
GAUGAACGCUAGCGGCAGGCUUAAUACAUGCAAGUCGUGGGGCAGCAGGGUUGUAGCAAUACAACUGCUGGCGACCGGCAAACGGGUGCGUAACACGUACGCAACCUUCCCGUUACUGUGGCAUAGCCCAGGGAAACUUGGAUUAAUACCACAUAUUAUAUUGAUGAGGCAUCUCGUUGAUAUCAAAGCUUCGGCGGUAACGGAUGGGCGUGCGGUUGAUUAGGUAGUUGGCGGGGUAACGGCCCACCAAGCCUACGAUCAAUAGCUGAUGUGAGAGCAUGAUCAGCCACACGGGCACUGAGACACGGGCCCGACUCCUACGGGAGGCAGCAGUAAGGAAUAUUGGGCAAUGGACGCAAGUCUGACCCAGCCAUGCCGCGUGAAGGAUUAAGGUCCUCUGGAUUGUAAACUUCUUUUAUAAGGGACGAAAAAAGGCUUUUCUAAGUCGUCUGACGGUACCUUAUGAAUAAGCACCGGCUAACUCCGUGCCAGCAGCCGCAGUAACAC